GCUGAGCUCUGUGUGUGUGAGCUGAGCUCUGUGUGUGUGUGUGUGAAGCUGAGCUCUGUGUGUGUGUGUUUGUGAAGCUCAGCUCUGUGUAUGUGAGCUGAGCUCUGUGUGUGUGUGUUUGUGAAGCUCAGCUCUGUGUGUCUCUGUGUGUGUGUUUGUGAAGCUCAGCUCUGUGUCUCUGUGCGUGUGUGUUUGUGAAGCUCAGCUCUGUGUG